UGGGAUGUAGCUCAGUGGUAGAGAGCUUGCUCAUUGUACAUGAGGCCCUGGGUUCCAUCACCAGCACCAA
rnacentral:tRNA from 1 species